rnacentral:rRNA from 1 species
UCGAGAAUAAUUCGCAAUGGGCGAAAGCCUGACGAUGCGACGCCGUGUGAACGAUGAAGGCCUUCGGGUUGUAAAGUUCUGUCGCCUGUGAACAAGGGUAUGUAUUGAAUAGAUGCGUACUUUGAGUGUAACAGGAAAGGAAGCACCGGCUAACUCCGUGCCAGCAGCUGCGGUAAUACGGAGGGUGCAAGCAUUAAUCGGAAUUACUGGGCGUAAAGGGUGCGUAGGCGGGAAUGUAAGUCAAAUGUGAAAUUCCGAGGCUUAACCUCGGAGCUGCAUCUGAAACUACAUUUCUAGAGGAAUGGCGGAGAAAAUGGAAUUCCACGUGUAGCGGUGAAAUGCGUAGAUAUGUGGAAGAACACCUGUGGCGAAAGCGGUUUUCUAGCCUAUUCCUGACGCUGAGGCACGAAAGCAAGGGGAGCAAACAGGAUUAGAUACCCCCGUAGUCC